rnacentral:rRNA from 1 species
AGUGAACGCUGGCGGUAGGCCUAACACAUGCAAGUCGAACGGCAGCACAGUAAGAGCUUGCUCUUACGGGUGGCGAGUGGCGGACGGGUGAGGAAUACAUCGGAAUCUACUUUUUCGUGGGGGAUAACGUAGGGAAACUUACGCUAAUACCGCAUACGACCUACGGGUGAAAGCAGGGGAUCUUCGGACCUUGCGCGAUUGAAUGAGCCGAUGUCGGAUUAGCUAGUUGGCGGGGUAAAGGCCCACCAAGGCGACGAUCCGUAGCUGGUCUGAGAAGAUGAUCAGCCACACUGGAACUGAGACACGGUCCAGACUCCUACGGGAGGAAGCAGUGGGGAAUAUUGGACAAUGGGCGCAAGCCUGAUCCAGCCAUACCGCGUGGGUGAAGAAGGCCUUCGGGUUGUAAAGCCCUUUUGUUGGGAAAGAAAAGCAGCAGGUUAAUACCCCGCUGUUCUGACGGUACCCAAAGAAUAAGCACCGGCUAACUUCGUG